GGGGAUGUUCUGGUUUCGACAGCAAGGGAAAUUGGGACGUAAGCAUGUCGAGCGUUGAGAUGGUGGCUCGUAAAUACCAACACUCAAGCCAUAACUGGCGAAAAUAACUAUGCACUCGCUGCUUAAUAUGCCAAGCAUAUUAACUUAAUCGGAUGAUCCAAGGUUGAUUGUCGGACGAGAAUCCCGCAAACAGGCCGCGCCUUUUGCCUAUUUGCAAUGGGGUUUCAUUUAAAAAAGGAUAGCGCAAACUUAGUCCUGUAAGUAUGUGCGAAAAUUUUAAGGAUAAGGAUUAUAUUCGGUCGUUUUUUACCUGAUGUAUUUCCCGACAAUAUAAAAAAACUAAACAUGUAGAAAGCGUAACGAUUACUUGUUUGGACGCGGGUUCGAGUCCCGCCAUCUCCACCA
rnacentral:tmRNA from 1 species